rnacentral:rRNA from 1 species
UACGGGGGGGGCAAGCGUUGUUCGGAAUUACUGGGCGUAAAGGGCGUGUAGGCGGUCUGUUAAGUCUGGCGUGAAGGCUCUCGGCUAAACCGGGAGAGGUCGUUGGAUACUGGCAGACUAGAGGACGGUAGAGGCGUGUGGAAUUCCGGGUGUAGUGGUGAAAUGCGUAGAGAUCCGGAGGAACACCAGUGGCGAAGGCGACACGCUGGGCCGUACCUGACGCUAAAGCGCGACAGCAUGGGGAGCAAACGGG